UACGUAGGGCGCAAGCGUUGUCCGGAAUUAUUGGGCGUAAAGAGCUCGUAGGCGGUUUGUCGCGUCUGCUGUGAAAACCUAAGGCUCAACCUUGGGCUUGCAGUGGGUACGGGCAGACUAGAGUGCGGUAGGGGUGACUGGAAUUCCUGGUGUAGCGGUGGAAUGCGCAGAUAUCAGGGAGGAACACCCGGUGGCGAAGGCGGGACUCUGGGCCGAUACUGACGCUGGAGGAGCGAAAGCCGUGGGGAGCGAACAGG
rnacentral:rRNA from 1 species